GACGAACGCUGGCGGCGUGCUUAACACAUGCAAGUCGAACGGAAAGGCCCUGCUUUUGCGUGGUGCUUGAGUGGCGAACGGGUGAGUAACACGUGAGUAACCUGCCCUUGACUUUGGGAUAACUUCAGGAAACUGGGGCUAAUACCGCAUAGGAGCUCCUGCUGCAUGGUGGGGGUUGGAAAGUUUCGGCGGUUGGGGAUGGACUCGCGGCUUAUCAGCUUGUUGGUGGGGUAGUGGCUUACCAAGGCUUUGACGGGUAGCCGGCCUGAGAGGGUGACCGGGCACAUUGGGACUGAGAUACGGCCCAGACUCCUACGGGAGGCAGCAGUGGGAAAUAUUGCGCAAUGGGCGGAAGCCUGAUGCAGCAACGCCGCGUGCGGGAUGACGGCCUUCGGGUUAUAAACCGCUUUCGCCUGUGACGAAGCGUGAGUGACGGUAAUGGAUAAAGAAGCACCGGCUAACUACGUG
rnacentral:rRNA from 1 species